ACACCGUCUUGGUCCUAAACUUGGCGUUAUUUAAUACCAACCAUACACAUGCAAGUCUCCGCAUCCCUGUGCCAACGCCUACACAUAGUAACCAGAGCCGGCAUCAGGCACGUCACUAACAGACAGCCCACAACGCCUAGCUCGUGCCACACCCCUACGGAACCCAGCAGUGAUUAACAUUAAGCCAUAAGCCCCCACUUUUUAAACCUUUAAGCUUGACUUAGGCAUGGUAUUCAGGGCCGGUAAACACCGUGCCAGCCACCGCGGUUAUACGAUGAGCCCAAAAUAACAUCACACGGCGUAAAACGUGACUAGAAGACUUUAAUUAAAAGGAAACAUACCAAAACUUGCAGCACAGGAGUAAAAUCCCUACACACCACAGAACCCCACACCACCUUUCCCACAUUAAAACCUUUUGACCGCACGAAAGCUAAGACACAAACUAGGAUUAGAUACCCUACUAUGCUUAGACGUAAACCAAGGCAGCAACCACAUCCACCCUGCCCGCCAGAGUACUACAAGUGAAAAACUUAAAACUCAAAGGACUUGACGGCAUUCCACACCACACUAGAGGAGCCUGUCCUAUAACCGAUAACCCACGUUUCACCUCACCUGUUCUAGCACCAACUCAGCCUAUAUACCGCCGUCUCCCAGCUCGCCUCACAAAAGAACCCAAAGCGGGCAAACCAGUCCACCACUAAUACGUCAGGUCAAGGUGUAGCGAAUGCACAGGCAGAGAUGGGCUACAUUUUCUCCGCAACAGAAAACCACCCCCCGCAUCAUGAAACAAGUGCACAAAGGAGGAUUUAGCAGUAAGCCGCGCAAGACUGCCCGCCUGAACAACGCCAUGGAAUGCGUACACACCGCCCGUCACCCUCAUCAAUAUAACACACCAAAAGUUACAUAAACACCCACCAAAAACACUAGAUGAGACAAGUCGUAACAAGGUAAGUGCACUGGAAAGUACACUUGGCAAACU
rnacentral:ncRNA from 1 species